AUGUUCCUGCUUUAUACGUAGAUGAAGUAUAUAUUGACCCAACAUUUUUUGAUUGGGAAUCUUGCUCUUUUAAUCUAUUGAUGCUCUUAAAUGAGAACUUGAAAUUGAAAGGCGGAUACCCACCUGUUGAGAGACAGGAUCAACUAUUAGUUCAUAUACGGUUUAGUGGGAACUUU
rnacentral:other from 1 species